CAUAACAACGUUAACAGAAAAACCCUAAAGAAUCUAAAACCCUUUGCUGUGGUUCUAACAUCCAACGAUUCACACCAUCGUCGGCGGUGCCGCCACCUAUCCCCACCUCAAUCUCCAAAGCCGAAGAGAAUAACCAAUUAUGGAGCAGCGGUUGCCCAAUUCCUGGCGGAUGACCGUCAAUGACAAGAACUUCAUUCAAACAGCACUGCUCUCCGACCUCCGAACUGACGGUCGUGGCCCUUUUGAUUACCGAAACCUAACUAUCCAGUUUGGCAGUGAAGAUGGCUCAUCAGAAGUCCAGCUAGGCCAGACUCGCGUAAUGGGGUUUGUAACAUCACAACUAGUGCAACCUUACCGUGAUCGCCCUAAUGAAGGUACUCUUGCCAUAUUUACUGAGUUCUCUCCAAUGGCAGAUCCUUCGUUUGAAGUAGGUCGUACUGGGGAAUCUGCUGUUGAAUUGGGACGGAUAGUUGAUCGCGGGUUAAGGGAAAGUAGGGCAAUUGACACAGAAUCACUUUGUGUUGUUGCGGGGAAAUGGGUGUGGUCCAUCCGUAUCGAUCUUCACAUUCUAGACAAUGGCGGGAAUCUUGUUGAUGCCGCAAAUAUUGCAGCCUUGGCUGCGCUGUUGACAUUCAGAAGGCCAGAGUGCACACUGGGAGGAGAAGAUGGUCAGGCAGUUAUAAUUCAUCCGCCAGAAGUCAGAGAACCCUUACCAUUGAUUGUACACCAUCUCCCUGUAGCAGUAACAUUUGCAUUUAUUGGUAACGAGAGCAGAGUGAUUGUUGACCCAUCGCACUUCGAAGAAGCUGUUAUGGGUGGAAAACUGACUGCUACUUUGAACACAAAUGGUGAUGUCUGUGCUAUUCAAAAAGCUGGAGGAGAAGGUGUGAUGCAAAGUGUUGUUAUGCAAUGCUUGCGGAUCGCAUCUGUGAAGGCUGCUGAUAUUACUGGAAAAAUUAGAAAAGCUGUCGAAUCAUAUAAAACAAAAAGAGAUUUGAAAAAAAUAAAAAGACACCCUGAUUCAGUUGAUAUAUCGAAGGACAUGGAGAAGCCUGAACUGAAAAUAGAGAAAACAAGUGCCAGACAAAGUGAUGACAUGGAAAUUGAGAGCCACUCAUCAAAGAAAGAUGAAAGAAGUUUGAGAGACAGCAAACAUAAAGCCGUCAUUGGUGGACCAUCUAGUUGGGAUCCAUACUCCAAGGUUGCUGAUGCUGAUGAAUUGAAAGCAAGUCUGGCUACACAAGCUAUAGCAUCACCAGAUCAGAAGAUGGAUGCAAUGCCACCUGAACAGCAACAGUUGAAUGUAAUGGAUCAAUCCCUUAGAGAUGCAGAUGCAUCACCUUCAUUAUCGGUGGCAGCUCGAGCUGGAGAAGAGAAAAACAAAGCCAAGACAUUAUUGGAUGCCAUGAAACCUAAGCAUAAGAGAAAGAAAAAGAAUUUAUCAAAUUCUGAUGGAAGUUAAACAGUGGGUCUCUUGAGCGUUUACGUUUUUUCUCCUUCCCAUGCAUUCCUUCUAACUUCGUGGGUGGAGUUUAGAGAUCUUCUACCUAAGAUUGAAACUUUCAUAUCACAUCGUCGUGAAAAGGUGCAAUCUCUUGACCUACUCUGAUGAUGUGGUUGUUGACUCGUAAUGUGUCCCAUGUUGUCUGGAACUAGCAGCAACAACUCUUCAGAUACCUGUGAAGGGUU